rnacentral:rRNA from 1 species
CUUUCCCUCUGUCGGUAUGCCUAACACAUGCAAGUCGAACGGCAGCACAGUAAGAGCUUGCUCUUACGGGUGGCGAGUGGCGGACGGGUGAGGAAUACAUCGGAAUCUACUUUUUAGUGGGGGAUAAUGUAGGGAAACUUACGCUAAUACCGCAUACGACCUACGGGUGAAAGCAGGGGAUCUUCGGACCUUGCGCGAUUGAAUGAGCCGAUGUCGGCUUAGCUAGUUGGCGGGGUAAAGGCGCACCAAGGCGACGAUCCGUAGCUGGUCUGAGAGGCUGACCAGCUACACUGUAACUGAGACACGGCCCAGACUCCUACGGGAGGCAGCAGUGGGGAAUAUUGGACAAUGGGCGCAAGCCUGAUCCAGCCAUACCGCGGGGAGGAAGAAGGCCUUCUGGUUGUAAAGCCCUUUUGUUGGGAAAGAAAUGCAGCAGGUUAAUACCCCGCUGUUCUGACGGUACCCGAAGAAUAAGCACCGGCUAACUUCGUG